GACGAACGCUGGCGGCGUGCCUAAUACAUGCAAGUCGUGCGAACCACUUCGGUGGUGAGCGGCGGACGGGUGAGUAACACGUGGGCAAUCUGCCCGACAGACUGGGAUAACGCUUGGAAACGAGUGCUAAUACCGCACACGCUCUUGAAUCGCAUGGUUCGAGAGGGAAAGCUGCCUUUGCAGCACUGUCGGAUGAGCCCGCGGCGCAUUAGCUAGUUGGUGAGGUAACGGCUCACCAAGGCGACGAUGCGUAGCCGACCUGAGAGGGUGACCGGCCACGCUGGGACUGAGACACGGCCCAGACUCCUACGGGAGGCAGCAGUAGGGAGUCUUCCGCAAUGGGCGCAAGCCUGACGGAGCAACGCCGCGUGAGUGAUGAAGGCCUUCGGGUUGUAAAACUCUGUCUUCUGUGAAGAACAAGCCUAUGACGAGAAUGCUUAGGCCCUGACGGUAACAGAGGAGGAAGCCCCGGCUAACUACGUGCCAGCCGCCGCAGUAA
rnacentral:rRNA from 1 species